rnacentral:rRNA from 1 species
UACGUAGGGUGCAAACGUUGUCCGGAUUUAUUGGGCGUAAAGAGCUCGUAGGCGGUUUGUCGCGUCUGCUGUGAAAACUCGGGGCUUAACCCCGGGCCUGCAGUGGGUACGGGCAGACUAGAGUGCGGUAGGGGAGACUGGAAUUCCUGGUGUAGCGGUGAAAUGCGCAGAUAUCAGGAAGAACACCAAUGGCGAAAGCAGCUUUCUGGGACGGUACUGACGCUGAGACGCGAAAGCGUGGGGAGCGAACAGG